UUCAAAAAAUUUUAUUCUCAUUCUUCAGUUUUAACUAAGAUGAACUUAGUCGUCACAUAUUGGUUCAUAAUUGGCUGACAUAAAGAACCAUUGAUACCUAAAAUGAGAUGUUGAUUUUCAUGAUUGAUGCUUUGGCUGGACAGGAAACUUUUCUUCUUAUCUAUCAAAAUUUUCCUGAUAGUUUGUAUGUGGUAAUUAUAUUACGGAAAAACCUG